rnacentral:rRNA from 1 species
UACAGAGGUCUCAAGCGUUGUUCGGAUUCAUUGGGCGUAAAGGGUGUGUAGGUGGCGCGCUAAGUCGGGUGUGAAAUUUCGGAGCUUAACUCCGGAACUGCAUUCGAUACUGGCGUGCUUGAGGACUGGAGAGGAGACUGGAAUUCAUGGUGUAGCAGUGAAAUGCGUAGAGAUCAUGAGGAACACCAGUGGCGAAGGCGGGUCUCUGGACAGUUCCUGACACUGAGACACGAAGGCCAGGGGAGCAAACGGG